CAUCUCAAGACAGAAUAAUGGAUUUUAUAACAAGCUCUGAAAUUUUGAACCACCAUAUGGCAUAUACUUAAGCAUGGAAUGGCGAUUAGUAUGAACAAUCUUGAAUUUGUGCUUAUGUUGUAAAUUUUGGAUAAAAUGAAUACAAAUUAAAUGGAACCGUCAUUUUUAUCUGUUUAAAUGGAACUGUUUAUUAUUCUUUUUAAAUAAGAUAAGAUAUGAUUGGAUACAGGUUGUUUAUUAAGCCUUAUCUGAAAGAAGCAGAGAAAGAGGUAAACCAGCAUGUAGGGGUGGGGACAUAAAAUGAUCCAUGUUUCUUUAAGUAAUGGGGACAUACAAGUAUUUAUUAUAGCCAAGGUUUUCACAAUAACCCAGUAUUGCAUUAAUGGUGUCAUAAGAAUUCUUUAUAUCUUUAUGUCACAGUAUAGGGAAAACGGUACUAUUACAUUUUCCCAGCAUUAGGUUGGCCUUUUGUGUACCCAAGGCAGGUGAAGGAAGUCAACUUGGGAGCGCUGUGAUUGGAUGAAAUUUCUAUUAGAAAAUGAAUCAAAUGAAGAAUCUUCAUGGUUAAAUGCAUAGAAAGGAUAUUUGAAGAGAGCCAAUGACAUAAGGAGAAGCAGUUAUGAAUUUUGAAAUUGAUAUAAAGGAGAGGUCAUUCAUCACAGAAGAUUUAAUCAAAGUUUACAGUAUGUUGAGAGAAGUUCAGAACAAGCAAUUUGGUUGAAGAGGAGUUGUCAACACGUCAUCUUUGAACAAGGUCAAUUGUAUUAGAAGUGAAUCCUUAACAGAAAUGAGACAAUAAUCAAAUAAUUCAAAGACUACAUGGAUGUUAUCUGGACUAGCAUUUGUAUGACCUAAAUGUGGUAUUUUUCAUAUGAACACUUACAAGGCAGAUAAUAGUCUGUGACAAACAUUUGUAUGCAAUUAAAGACUUGAAGAACUUGUACGGUAUUCUUCAGAUUUCAGUAGAAUUUGUUUAAAACGGUACAUUCUUGGUAUGAAUUGAAGAAUUUUUGCUCAUUUAAAUGAAUUAUGAAAAUGUUUUAUAUGUUUAGAAUAAACAAAAACAACAUAAAAGAUGGACAAAUUUUUAUUUUCUUUCUUGAAACUUAUAACAGAAUAAAUUGUCAUAUGCUAA